AAACACCCAUUCUUGUAGGAUCACCAAAGUUAAGCAAUGUUGGUCCUGGUCAGUACCCAGAUUGGUGACCACCUAGGAGUACCAUGUGUUGUG